rnacentral:misc_RNA from 1 species
GCUGACAUUCUUCCUCUACGUCAAGGCGAUGCUGCUGAAAUCAGUUUCAACCGACGUAUUUUUCCACUGAGUUUGUUUCUUCCCUUCUUGUUGCAAUAUAUAUAUAUAAUCGGGCAAGGGAUUGCAAUGCAAGCGAUGAUGGCGAUUGGCGAGAGCUAAGGUGCUCUGUUCUCAGUCUCCCAUCUAGCUCUCUCGUUGUUUUUGAGUUUUUG